AGGGAAACCGAGUCUUAACUGGGCGUUAAGUUGCAGGGUAUAGACCCGAAACCCGGUGAUCUAGCCAUGGGCAGGUUGAAGGUUGGGUAACACUAACUGGAGGACCGAACCGACUAAUGUUGAAAAAUUAGCGGAUGACUUGUGGCUGGGGGUGAAAGGCCAAUCAAACCGGGAGAUAGCUGGUUCUCCCCGAAAGCUAUUUAGGUAGCGCCUCGUGAACUCAUCUUCGGGGGUAGAGCACUGUUUCGGCUAGGGGGUCAUCCCGACUUACCAACCCGAUGCAAACUGCGAAUACCGAAGAAUGUUAUCACGGGAGACACACGGCGGGUGCUAACGUCCGUCGUGAAGAGGGAAACAACCCAGACCGCCAGCUAAGGUCCCAAAGUCACAGUUAAGUGGGAAACGAUGUGGGAAGGCUCAGACAGCCAGGAUGUUGGCUUAGAAGCAGCCAUCAUUUAAAGAAAGCGUAAUAGCUCACUGGUCGAGUCGGCCUGCGCGGAAGAUGUAACGGGGCUAAACUGUGCACCGAAGCUGCGGCAGCGACGCUUAUGCGUUGUUGGGUAGGGGAGCGUUCUGUAAGCCUGCGAAGGUGUCCUGUGAGGGAUGCUGGAGGUAUCAGAAGUGCGAAUGCUGACAUAAGUAACGAUAAUGCGGGUGAAAAGCCCGCUCGCCGGAAGACCAAGGGUUCCUGUCCAACGUUAAUCGGGGCAGGGUGAGUCGACCCCUAAGGCGAGGCCGAAAGGCGUAGUCGAUGGGAAACGGGUUAAUAUUCCCGUACUUGGUGUUACUGCGAAGGGGGGACGGAGAAGGCUAUGUUGGCCGGGCGACGGUUGUCCCGGUUUAAGCGUGUAGGCUGGUUUUCCAGGCAAAUCCGGAAAAUCAAGGCUGAGGCGUGAUGACGAGGCACUACGGUGCUGAAGCAACAAAUGCCCUGCUUCCAGGAAAAGCCUCUAAGCAUCAGGUAACAUCAAAUCGUACCCCAAACCGACACAGGUGGUCAGGUAGAGAAUACCAAGGCGCUUGAGAGAACUCGGGUGAAGGAACUAGGCAAAAUGGUGCCGUAACUUCGGGAGAAGGCACGCUGACACGUAGGUGAAGUGA
rnacentral:rRNA from 1 species